CCUGUCCGGCGACGACGGGAUCGCGGCGCACAAAAACCAGCAUCUGGUUCCGCCGAAAACCAUUGCCUUCGUUAUUGAAACCUUGGCGAGGAGAGCUGGUGGGGAGGCGAUGACGGGAUCGCUGCACACAAAGAGCUCUGAAAUUCUAAUACUUCAUCUGCUUCCACUUCGUUCCUACCUGAAACCAUUGGUAGUGCAUUGUGAACUAUGAUUUCAAUGUAAUCAUCAACGUAAAGAUGAUAAUAUCGGGUGAAAAUUUUACAGAUAUUCCAGAAAUCAGACCGAGUGUGACUGUAACUAUUUCAAGUGGAUUGAUGAAUGGCGAUACCAGCGUUGUUUCGGAAAUCUCUACCAAAAGCUACUAUUCAAGCAAACCUUGCACAUAAAGAAAAGACAGGGAAGAUGAAAAACUGGUUGUGGAUGGAAGAAAUUUGCACUUGAAAACAAUUUCAAAGGAGGAGAUGGGUGUGUUUUUGAGCUUAUGGAUGAUGACAAUAAAUUGAAGAUUGGAGUUCAAAUUCUUAACGGUCAAAUCCUAUAGAGUUCAUCACACUGAGAAGGAAUAUCUUGUCAGUUUUGAUUAGAAUCGAGAAGAAAAUUAUUUAUGAAAGUAAAAAUGACAUUUCUUAAGUUUAAUUACAUGCAUUUUACUGUCAAUGUAUCUCUAUUUUAAUCAUACUAAACUUGAAUUAAUAGAUUUGAGUUUGUAAAUUUCUGCAUUGGAAUGCCUUACUAUAAGUAGCUUGUUCAGCUAAUUGAAGCACUUCUUAGCUUUGCAUUUUAAAGUAGAGGAGAAGAAACUCAUGAGCAGAGUAAAGAAAAAGUCU